rnacentral:rRNA from 1 species
GCGCGAAAACUUUACAAUGCUGGCAACAGCGAUAAGGGAACCUCGAGUGCCAGGUUACAAAUCUGGCUGUCGAGAUGCCUAAAAAGCAUUUCAUAGCAAGGGCCGGGCAAGACCGGUGCCAGCCGCCGCGGUAACACCGGCGGCUCGAGUGGUAACCGUUAUUAUUGGGUCUAAAGGGUCUGUAGCCGGCCGGAUAAGUCUCUUGAGAAAUCUGGCAGCUUAACUGUCAGGCUUUCAGGAGAUACUGUCUGGCUCGAGGCCGGGAGAGGUGAGAGGUACUUCAGGGGUAGGGGUGAAAUCUUGUAAUCCUUGAAGGACCACCAGUGGCGAAGGCGUCUCACCAGAACGGACCUGACGGCAAGGGACGAAAGCUAGGGGCACGAAC